AUCUACAUGAAUAUGGUUACUGUAUAAUUCAUCCUUUUGACCCCUGUAUUUAGGAUGACUCAGGGUUAAACUGUCAACCCUGAUCAGAUCAUCCGAAUCGUGCUCAACUCAAACAGUCCUAUGACUCCUCACAAGGACUACCCUGGCCAAGAUUUUGCUAAAUUGAAAUACGACUAUACACAUCUCCUAAACUGGAGUGGUCAAUCCCAUCUUGACACACGCACCGACAAUCAAGUACUUGACUAUACCCAGCAGCCUUCCAUCACUGAAUUAAAAAUUCAGGUAGUCCAGUGCCUAAGUGCAGUGAGUUGCUUGCAAGUCACCGUGGCGGUCUUAGGUCGGAGGGACAUUUAUACCCAUAUUCUAUCAGAGCAAAUCUUGACAACAAAAAUAGCUCCAG
rnacentral:lncRNA from 1 species